CGGCAUCACUACUGGUCGUGCAAGUGAGCUGUGCAGGAAGAGCACAGAGAUCCCAGCCCAGCAGCAACCGCUAGUCACUCCCAGGGUAAGGUAGAGAGGUUGGUUGGACCUCUUAAUAACUAAAUGCGUGUGUAUAUCUGUGGUUUUGUAUGUGUUUAGUAGAUAGCUCUCUAAUUUGGUGUCCUUAAAUAUGUCAAUCCCACAUAAGCAUAACAAAUAAGUGAGUUAUCUACUAAACAACCUAAAGAUUAAAAUUAAGAAAAAGGCUUUUUAAAUUUUGAUCUUUUAGCUGUUUAGUAGAGAAUUCCCUAAAUUGGUGCCCUUAUGUGAGAUUCCAUGUAAAGAUACCAAAUUAGGGUGCUGUUUAGCAGAUAGCUCCCUCUUAAUAACUAAAUGCGUGUGUAUAUCUGUGGUUUUGUAUGUGUUUAGUAGAUAGCUCUCUAAUUUGGUGUCCUUAAAUAUGUCAAUCCCACAUAAGGAUAAUAAAUAAGUGAGUUAUCUACUAAACAACCUAAAGAUUAAAAUUAAGAAAAAGGCUUUUUAAAUUUUGAUCUUUUAGCUGUUUAGUAGAGAAUUCCCUAAAUUGGUGCCCUUAUGUGAGAUUCCAUGUAAAGAUACCAAAUUAGGGUGCUGUUUAGCAGAUAGCUCCCUUAUUUGGUGUCCUUAAAUCUAGCAAUCCCACUUAAGGAUAAGAAAUAGGGGAGUUAUCCGCUAAACAAAGAUCAAAGUUAAGAGGUGUCAGCCAUCCCAAAAAUCUAAGUGGCUAAUGUGAAUUCUAUGUAAAUGUGUUGUCUGAUGCCAGCAUGCACAACAUGCUGUCGUCAGACAGCCAAUGGCAGCACAUUACCCCAUUACCUAGUGAAAAUUAUUAAUGCUCCUAGCCCCCACUGUUUAUGUGCCUCCCCUAUAUGUUGUUCCUAGAGUCACCACUGCUUCAGGGGCCCAGUUGUGCGCUGUGGUGCUUUAAUGGUGCGACCAGGCUUCUGAAAUAAUAUAAUGGCAGCCCUGGGGGAAGUGAAAUUCAGUCACUUCCUCCCAGCUAACACUGAAACAACGCAGGAUGGAGGGCGGCACUGAUUGGGAGAGAACUAGAGCCCAACUCCCAACAGCCUCAGCCAGCAGGUACUAAACAGGAGGAUGGCAUUGUGUAUCUGUAUGUGUGUCUGUGUAGUUGCAUGUGUGUAAAUGUGUGUCUCUGUAUCUGUUUGUGACUGUGUGUCUGUAUCUGCAUGUGUGUCAGUGUGUAUAUAUCUGCAUACAUCUCAGCAUCUUGCCAACACUACACACAAAAGCAUGCCUGUAUUAAAAUGCCAACACUACAUACAAACACACCCCUACAUUCACUCACACUUACUCCAUACAAAAGCAUGCUUACAUUGAAACACGCAAGCACUGCUCAAUGCUACAUACAUUAAAAAAAUUGUGGGUGUUUACAUUUUAAAGUGCAGGGGGGAGAGAGGGGUGCCAAAACUAGGACCUGCCCCGGGUGCCAUAUGCUUUAGGUACGCCCCUGAUCCCAGGGUAUGUCAAAAGGCAUAUUUUGAAGCUUGGCGUGGGAUAGUUUUUCCGCUAGCUUGUGCCACGUGUAGUGGUAAUAAGUGUUUUUUCUGCCUUUUUGACACACAAAGUGAGUUUGCACGAUAUAUUUUGCAAACCUUAUGUGUGCUACGACUGUAUAAUACUACAUAUGUUGCUCAGCUAUGUCUUCUGAGUACAGCAAUACCCCCGUAUGUACCUUUGGCAGGUAUAUGUGGAUGUUGAAGGGGCACAUUUGAGAUGCAGCCAUUAAGUUUGUUUUUUCUAACUUGGAAGUUUUACGCUGUGUCCAUGUUCCAUUUUGGAGUAGUUUAGCUGGUUGGUUAUUCAAAAAUCCCCACAAAAUCCCCACAAACACACACUCUUUAUUAAAGAAUACACCCUGGGUUAAUUCAAAAGGCAUAUUUUGAACCUUAGCAUGGGAUCAUUUUUUCUCUAGUUUUUAAACUUCUUUAAAAAAACGUUAUUAAAACUUUUUUUUCAACUUUUUUUUACUGUUAACUCCUAGCUAGCCCAACACCAAAUUCCUCAAUUCCCCACUAACUUCCACCCACCACAACUAGCUAAAUAUAUCAUUUUUAUAUAUUUAAAUUAAUUUUAAAAAUAAAAUUAACCCCUAAAGGAUACAAAAAAUAAAAGUUGACCCUCAGGGGUUUAAAAAAAAAAAAAUUAGAUCACAGCAGUGGCGGAUCCAGGGGGGGGGCAACGGGGCAAUUGCCCCCCCCGAGAAAUCCGACGGUCUCCCUCUUCCUCCCCUGCCAGCCCUGCAAUGUGCCUGCGGACCGGAGGGGAGAUCACAGAUCUUCUUCCCCGGUCCGCAGGCACCGUGCUGGCGGCCAGUGGGGGAGGGAGGGAGUGAGAGAGAGGACCCAGGAGCUCAGUAUGCAGCUCCUCCGGGUCCUUCUCUCGCGAGAUUUGGAGCGUUGCCGCGGUUACCACGGCAACGCUCCAAAUCUUGCGAGAGUGAACUCUAGCCCGGGAGCGCGGGCUAGAGUUCACUCUCACCACCUGACCACCAAUGAAUCCCCCACCGGACCACCAGGGAAAUGCCCCCCCUCCUCCCAGUAAAGGUAAGAAGGGAGGGGGGGCAUAGAAUAUAUAUUUAUUUUUUUAAAUUAAAUUAAAAAAUAUUAUAUUAUUAAAAAAAAGCCACCCUACCCUGAUCACACACACACAUACAUUGCCCCCAAUACUGCCCCCCCAUUCACACAAACUGCCCCCCCAUUCACACACAAACUGCCCCCAUUCACACACAAACUGCCCCCCUAUACACACAAACUGCCCCCUAUACACACACAACCCCCCAUUCACACAAACUGCCCCCAUUCACACAAGCCCCCAUUCACACACACACAACUGCCCCUAUACACACACAAACUGCCCCCUAUACACACAACUGCCCCCAUUCACACAAACUGCCCCCAUACACACAAACUGCCCCCAUACACACAACUGCCCCCAUUCACACAAACUGCCCCCAUUCACACAAACUGCCCUAUACACACAAACUGCCCCAUUUUACACAAACUUUCUCCCCAUUCACACAAACUGCCCCAUACACACAAACUGCCCCCAUACACACAAACUUCCCCCAUACACACACACACACUGCCCCCCAUACACACACACACACUGCCCCCAUACACACAAACUGCCCCCCAUACACACAACACUGCCCCCCAUUCACACAAACUUCCCCCAUUCACACAAACUGCCCCCUAUACACACAAACUGCCCCCCAUACACACACACACACUGCCCCAUACACAAACCCCCCCCAUUCACACACAAACUGCCCCCAUGCCCCCCAUUGCCCCCAUUCACACACAAACUGCCCCCAUUCACACACAAACCUGCCCCAUUCACACAAACUGCCCCUAUACACACAAACUGCCCCCAUUCACACAAACUGCCCCAUUCACACAAACUACACAAACAUACACACACACACUGCCCCCAUACACACACACACUACACACACACUGCCCCCAUACACACACACUGCCCCCCAUACACACACAAACUUCCCCACAUACACACAAACUGCCCCCACAUACACACACUGCUCCCCCAUACACACAUACUGCCCGCCAUACACACACACUGCAAUACUCACACACACUGCAACCGUUACACACACUGCAUCCCUGACAAACACUGCCGCCCUCACUCACACACUACAACCUUCACACACGCACACACUGCACCACUCACACACACCACUGCUCCUAUACCCUACUACAGCCCCAUUUCCCAGCAGAUCUCGGGUAAGUUGUCAAACUGUUCUUAAACGGUUUGACUACUUACUGUGGGAGGGGGUCCCGGCACUAUUGACACCAUAACCACUACACUGAGCUGUAGUGGUUAUUGUGUCUGGAUUAUUUCUUUAAAUAAUCUACAAGUGCCCCUCCCGAGAUCAGGCUCUGGAUCCGCCACUGGAUCACAGUAAACUGUAGUUCCUGCCAAUUGAUCACUGUAUUUUAUUAUUAAAGCAGGGGAAAAGGGGGGGUUGGAUUUUACUUUAAGUUUAUUCAUUUUUUUACAUAGGGAGAAGAUCAGCAGUGAUCCGUCUCCCUGCACUUCACACUGAUCGAGGAAGAGCAGGGAGGUGGAUCGUCAGAACGAUCACUGCUGCAGGGACAGCGCGAUCGGGUGCUCGAAUACAGAGGCAGACCAGAGGAGGGCUAACCCCACGGUCUGGGGUUAACUUUACCGCAUGACGGACCUGGUCCAUCAUCCGGCAUUAACUGCUUCCCUGGCAUGACGGACCUGGUCCGUCAUCCGGCGGUAAGGGGUUAAAUAAAAAUCACUGGUUCUGGCAAUCAGCCAGACUGUUAACAGAGAUGGCAACAUAUGUAUCUAAUUGUUGCUUCUACUGAUAAAUAACAAAUUGGCAUAAGUAUAUAAACAAUCAGAGGUAGUGUCCAGAAUUAUGGACAGCUAAUUAUAUUAAAGUGAUAGGGAAAAAGAAGCUAGUAGUCCAAAUAGUAUUAAUCCAAAUGAUAGAAAGCUGUCUAAUGGAGCUGCUAGAGAUCAGGUAAGUGUCCUAGGCUGUGCCUUUAUGGGCACUUAAUCUUCUAUCAAAACUAAACUCCUUGUUUCUAUACAGCAAAUAUCUCGAGCUGUAUGUUUGAAGGUAAGUAUCCUAUUCUGUGCCUUCAUGGGCACCUAUCGUCUUGAUUAAGAUAAGUUCCUCGAGAGGAGACAGCUCCUAUCUGGAUUGCAAGAUAUCAUUGCAGGAGUUCGAGAACUCAAAUUUUGGGAACAAGCCCCGACGCAUGUUUCACCAGGCAGGCUCUUCACUCCUGCCUGGCGAAACGCGCAUCGGGGCUUGGCUCAUGAAGCUACUUAUGCUGCAAUGAUAUCUUACCUUGCUAUCGGCACAUUCAAGCUUAACAUUUAUUCCAUAUAUUCUUGUGAAGCCACAGGUAUACUGAGCCGACACUUAUAGAAAAUCAAUCCAGAUUGUGGGCAAGUCUCGAAUUUGUUAAAAUAAGUCAAAGAACUACACUCGUAUUAUGUUGGAACCCUCCCAAGGUGCCUCACAUACCAAGGUGGCAACAUAACUCAAAUUCAGAGUACAAAAUAAACAGUCUGGGCACGCAAUGGCUAAUCUAACGUAGAUGUUAUUGGACACAUAAAAGGUCCACGGGAUCUAGAGUGCCCAGACAUCAGUUUAUUUUGUACUCUGGACUAUCAGAUCCAGACAGACAAAUGAGUACUGGCCAACUAACUUAAAAAUUGUGGUGGUAGAAAAGAAACAGAAGACUGCAUGUGUGAUGGAUGUGGCAAUACCUAGUGACCUUAAGAAGAAGGAACAUUAGAAGGUGAACAAAUACCAAGGACUGAAAAAGGGAGCUAGAAAUAAUGUGGAUAGUGAAGGCAGCAAUAGUCACAGUUGUGAUAGAAGCACUUGGGGCUGUAACCCCCUUUUUGGAAGAGUAGUUUAAGUAGAUUCCAGGUGGGAUAUCUGAGAUCUCCGUUCAGAAUAGUGCAGUUUUACAAACAGCUAAAAUACUGUGCAGAACUCUCAAAAAACAAGGCCUCUAAAUAGCAAGGAUACACAAAAAAACAAAAACAAAAAAACAUGGAUGGGUUAGAAAGUCAGUUUUUAUGUUUAUUUAAACUUUUUAUUUCUUUUUGUAUAUACGCCCUGUAUUUGCAACAUCCAUAGACAACCACAAGGUGUCAAUAUUGUCUAAAGUCACUUGAAUAUUGCUUUGCUUGUCAUAGUGACCACAAGAUGCCAGUUUAAUACUCAGCACACUGACACAGAAUAUAGCUUGCUGUAUGCAGAGUGUCCUGCGUGUGUCACUCUCACUCUGUACACCAGCAAAAUAGUCAAACAUUUAUUUGGACUCCUACUUUGGGGCUACAUUCUCCAAGUGUCUCUGAUAUAAUCGUGAAAGAAUAUGUAUAAGUUCUGUUACAGAUGGUUUGAAAUACUUCAGCACCUUGGCUGUAAGGAGAACUCGCUAAUCAGAAUAUAUUAAUAGGAGAAGCCAAAGUAAAUAAGGAGGAAAUAAGUACGAAAACAAGCGAAGGGGGAAACAAAGGAAAAAGGGUAGUGUCGAGAAAACAUACAAUGUGGAGAGAGGGAGUGUAGAAAAGAGAGAUUGGUGAGAAAGACUGUUUAAAGGGUUAAAUAACCAGCCAGUGAUACAGUAAAGGAGACGAAAAGCUUAGGGGGAGAAAUAAAAAAAAACAACAAAAAACUGGAAGGUCCAAAAAAGGAGAAAAAAUAAAUAUGCGACAGAGGGAAAAAUAAGUAGAAGCGAGGAAGCGGAAUGGUGGGAGAGGGGACUAGGAGAGGUUAAAGCCACAUUUAGCCACAUUUUUUUAAUCCUGAGAUGGAAUGUUCUCACAGUAGAGUCCAUGAGGGAAAAAGCCAAGUUUAGAUGGACAGAUAAGCAGAUUGGCCAAGGCCCAAAGGCAUCUAACCUCUCCCCUACAGAGCCUCGAUCAACUCCUUCCCUGCCAGAGGCACAUUACUACUUUAGAAAAGACAAUGAGAUUUAAUGAUUGACCAGUUCAACUGUAAUCUGGGAGGUCCCAUUCUCAAAACAUGAGGGAAACUGGUGGAAUAAUAACAAAUAGACAUGCCAAUGUGAAAACUUACUGUACAUACCAUAGCAUGAAACAUGGUGUAGUUUUAAUUGAUUAAAGUUUAGGAUGUCCUACUGUUAGGGGAAGGGACUUGUGUUCUUUGGCGUUAAACAGGGAGGACUUGUCAGGCAUGAAAAGACACCCUUUCCCUCAGACAGCAACACUUAAAUAAGGGACAGGGAAUUUAGCAUACAAACACUGUGAGGGAGGGGGGGGGGGGAAAAUGGCAGAGAUUUAUGAACACCAAGAAAUAUAAUUUGUAUCUGCCUGUUACAAUUGCCAACAUAAUUAUUUGUGGUAGAACAAGAAGCGACAAGGGUCUCAUAGCCAUCGCCUAGAAUUGUUGCAGUAUAUUUUUUGGAGACUUUUCUGGUGACAAUUCUGAUGCUGGCUGCGGUCCCAAAAUGUCCUCUUAUAAUCCCAUGGUUCUCGUUAUAAUACUAAGACAGAAGAUGCUGUGACUAUUCAGUUACAAUACACACACGUUCUGACAUUAAAAUUUACACUGUCCUACCAACCCAUCUGUAUGUUAUAUAAAUCAAAUACCCAAGGGUGCGUUUAUACCAUUGUUAAUAAUGGCGGCAAAUUUUAAUUUAGUUUUAGUUAUAGUCUUUUGACUAAAAAGCCAUUUUUUUAUCAUUAUUAUUGCCAUUUAUAUAGCGCCAACAGAUUUCGUAGCGCUUUACAAUAUCAUGAGAGGGGGGAUUUAACUACAGAUAGGACAAUUACAAGAAAACCUACAGGAACGAUAUGUCGAGGAGGACCCUGCUCAAACGAGCUUACAGUCUAUAGGAGGUGGGGUGUAAAACACAUUAGGACAGGAAAUAGCAAUUAAAUAAAGUGGAAGUGAAGCAGAGCUGGAGGAGAGAGUAGAGUGCUGCCCUUUAGGAGAGAGCAAGAGACCGGCAUGUGAGGUAGAGGUUACUGUGGGAGGCCAUAAGCUUUCCUAAAGAGAUGGUUUUAAGGCUUCUUAAACGAUUGAAGACUAGGGGAGAGUCUGAUGGCGGUAGGCAGGCUAUUCCAUAGGAAGGGAGCCGCCCACGAGAAGUACUGCAAGUGUGAGUUGGCCGUAAGGGUGCGAGCAGUGGACAGGAGAAGGUCAUGGGCAGAGCGGAGAGACUGAGAAUUGUUCAGUGCUUUAUGGGUAUGGGUUAGCACUUUGAAGUGACUCCUAUAGGAUACAGGAAGCCAAUGUAAGGACUGACAGAGGGGUGAGGUGUGAAAGGACCGACUAGAGCGGAAAAUCAGUCUGGCGGCAGCAUUCAUUACAGACUGUAAUGGGGCAAUACUACUUUUGGGAAAACAAAUUAGGAGAGGGUUACAAUAAUCCAUGCGGGAAAUUACUAGAGCAUGGACAAGCUCCUUGGUAGCAUCUUGCAUAAGAAAGGGGCAGAUGCGGGCUAUGUUUUUAAGAUGGAAUCUACAGGAUUUGGCAACAUCCUGGAUGUGAGGCUCAAAGGUGAGGCCAGAAUCAAGUAUGACGCCAAGACAGCGCGCUUGCAAGAAUGGACUGAUGUGGAUACCACUAACUUGAAAGGAGAGCGAAAGAAGAGGAUCAGUAUUAGGAGGAGGAAAGACAAGGAGCUCAGUUUUAGAGAGCUUGAGUUUCAGAAAGCGGGAGGACAUCCAGCCAGAGAUGGAAGAAAGGCAAGCAGUGACACGUUGCAAGACAGCAGGGGAGAGGUCUGGGGAGGAGAGAUAUAUCUGGGUGUCAUCAACGUACAGGUGGUAGUGGAAUCCAAAUGAGGUAAUAGGUUUGCCAAGAGAGGCAGUAUAAAGAGAAAAUAGAAGGGGACCAAGGACAGAGCCUUGGGGGACUCCAACCAAGACAGGACGAGGGGAGGAGGUGAGAAAGGGAGACACUGUAUGAGCGUUGGGAAAGAUAAGAGAAAAACCAUGAGAGGAUGGAGUCACAGAGAACGAGUGAUUUAAGAGUUUGAAGAAGGAGAGCAUGAUCAAUGGUGUCAAAGGCAGCAGAGAGGUCAAGAAGAAUUAGUAUGGAGUAGUGGCCUUUGGAUUUAGCUGCGAUUGGGUCGUUAGUAACUUUGAUAAGAGCAGUCUCAGUAGAGUGGAGAGAGCGGAAGCCAGAUUGAAGAGGGUCAAGGACAGAGUUGGAAUUGAGGAAGUGAGACAUAUGGGUAAAGACAAGUCUUUCCAUAAGUUUUAGUCGUAUUUUAGUCAUCUGAAUUGAUUUAGUUUUAGUCACAACAAAAUCUGGUGGCAAUGGGAUACGGCGUUGCUGUGGCAGCAAAAAAGCUCUAUGAGCUCAUAUUACCAAGAGGUAAACUACAAACUGCUCUCCCUAUGGUACAGAACACCAUCCCUGUUACACCAGAUCUUCCCAUCAAUCACUCCGACAUGCUGGAGAUGCCAGGCAGAACUCGGCACACUGAUACAUAUAUGGUGGGAAUGCAGGGACAUUAACCCAUACUGGGUAAUGAUUAAUGACACUGUGACUGACAUCCUAGGAGACAUACCGGAAUGGAACGCGGAACUAGCCCUGCUGCACAUCUCGACACAAUCGAUCCGGAGGUAUAAAAGAUCUAAAUUGCGUCACCUGCUAAACGCGGCCAAAACCAACAUUCUGGCACAUUGGAAAAAACGUGACAUACCAACUAAGAAAGAAUGGAUUCGCAGAAUGGAAGACAUCCAUGGAGCAGAAGAAAUACACGCCUCCCUAACGGGACUUGCAACAAAACACACGGAGGUGUGGCUCCCAUGGUUUCUAUACAUCACUCGUUAUAGGCAAGCAGAGGAUGCUCCCGAACCCAUCGACGGGGCGACAGCAGGCGCGGAACCCACCAGACACAACCCACCCCCCUCCUUACACCCCCCCCUGUAAGCCUAAAUUCCUCCCCCCUUUCCACCCAACUCUCUCAUCAAGGAACCGACUUAUUCUGGGGCCCGGGGGGUAGGGGGCGAGAAUAGGGAGAUAUACCACCACACAAAAGAUACACUAACCUCUGAAAAAACAAAAGGAUAAACACCCAGCCUUGAGGUGAUUUGAGAAGCAGUCGACCCUCAGGAAACACGAGUCACACCUUGUUACACAUACCAUCACCAAAAAGUGUAGACGGAGGGGACAACGCACAUAUAAAGCAAAGGGCCUGGCACCACCUAGACCUACACCAAACUCCCCUUACGAUGUUACUGAUACACACAUCAAUAACGCAGUGAGGAAAACACGUAUGGGAACCCACGCGAACCACAGGCUCUGCCACAAGGAUUGAUGACAAUACCCAUAGCCAAGCAUGUCAGUGAAAUAGAGACAGGGGCAUUUUCCACACAAACUAUUAACCAACACACAGCAACUAUUCAUCACGCUCAUAGUAUAGACAAGCGGGUGAACCCCUGCUAAGUAUAAUACCAGGAAUGAACAUGAUCCAAUGUUCACCACCACACCCGCUCGGCAACGCAUACCUAACAAUGCUAACUUGGACCUACGAGCCAGAAUUAAACCAGCCGCCUUACCGGUAAACAUUUAGAUAUCCCCUCAACCUGUACACACAGCAUAUUGUUGAAUCGUAUAAAUAUUUUGUUUGCAGAGACCUGCGAGUCUCAAUGUUUUGUUUUUUUUUGAAAAUCUGUUCAUUGAGGAGUAUGCAUAUUCAUCAAUAGUAACAAAGCAAGACACGCAGGUCUAGGUAUGUAAGUAAAACAAUACAAACCGAGCAUAAGUAUGUUAUAACUAAGUUGUCGCUAUCAAAUUGGUCGCGAUAGAGAUUAUACUUAUCAAUAGGGUAACUAGACCCAUCCGUCCGUUAGUUUAGUUUCAGCAGGGUAUUAUAAAUAAACAUGGGUAACCUUAUAUACCAAACUACACCUCUUGUUAUAUUCGUGGUUGGUGAGUAAUGCACAUAGAAGGAGUAUGUCUGGAGUUACAUCUGCCGUUGCAUACAUUUCCCGAUAUAUGAAGUUGUUGUAGAAAACGCCCAUAUAUACUUCCCAUCUCAUAGGUGAGGUAUUUGUUAUGAAGCCGGUUAGCAUUAAUGAUACCUGCGCCUAACUCUAAGUACGGUGAAUGUAGCAACAUGCUACUUGAUGGAUACCCCGAACACUAGGCCAACGUGGGAGUCGGAACAAGCAUCCAACCUGGGCCCCGCACCUGACACAUCGAUUUUCCCCUCGACCGUGACUCUAGGCUGAGCUCCUACGGCGACCAUGUAUCCCUGUAUCUGAGGGAAGGCGCUUGGGACUUCCCCCUCCUGUGUAUCAUGAGAGAAGUGUCCAAGUGCUGUGUGAUGAGGGUGCUACCCCUGUGCAAGGAUGAAAUGAGUCAUGUGUCUGUCUGGUCUGGGGUGUUCGUCAUGUGAGGCAUAGUCCCGCUACUCGUCGGAUGUCCAUCUCACCUGAUAUCCAGGUGCCUCAUAUCUACAUUGAAAUGCCCUUAGUCAUGUUAUAUCAGCUGGUGUAAGGUCCAGUUCUCCCUGUUACUCUCCCGGUGUAAUGUGUUAUUUGUUGUCCCACAGUGAACUCCUAGUAGACCCCUCCGGCUCCGAGCCCGGGCACCCACCCGCCGACGAGAGGAAUAAGGGAAUGGGCGAGUCUCAAUGUUACACUCAGACACCCUACGCAACUAACAAAACUACGCUUUGAGAAAAAAAACACAACAAUGCAAAAACAAAACAAAGCAAUUUAAAAAAAACAAAAAAAAAACAGCAGCUUUAAUGUUUGAAACACCGUAUAGCAGGGGUGUCAAACAUGCGGCCCCCCAGAUGUUGCUGAACUACAACUCCCAUGAUUCUUUCAAUGAAACAGAUAGCCAGGAAAUCAUGGGAGUUGUAGUUCAGCAACAUCUGGGGGGCUGCAUGUUUGACACCCCUGCCGUAUAGGGUCAAUGGUUUUGACCUGUAAUAUAUCAGGUUUAUUGUACAAUGGUAAAAUAUUGUAAUGUCGUAAUGCUGUAACCUUAUCCUAUUGCUUAAUAAAGAGAUUUACAAAAAACAAAACAAAAUCAGAUGGGUAUAUUUAAAGCCUCUAUCUGUCUCUUUUUCCCCUUUACCCAGCCCCUCUGAGUCUCUUUGUGUCCCCUUAGCCCCUCUGGGUGUCUCUCUCCCAAGCCUAGGUCUGUAUCUUUUGCCCCUUCCCCAGUCCCUCUGUGGCUCUUUCUCUCUAUAGCCCCAUUUGUGUGUCUCUUCUGCCCAGCAUCUUGUUUCUUUCUCCCCCCACCCCCUCUGUGUUGCUUUGUGUGUGUCCCCUGCCCCUGCAUGCAUCUUGUCUCCCCUCUUGUCUCAUUCUCCACAUGCACAUCCAUGUGCUCAUUACCCCCCAGUCCCUCCAUGUGUUUCAUUCCCCCACAACUCCUUUUGUCUCAUUCCGUCAUCCCCUCAUGUGUCUCAUUUCCUCUCCUCCCUCCCCCAUGUGUCAGUUUUAAUUUUGGUGGCAAAUUUUAAUUUAGAUUAAGUCAAAAAGCCAUUUCAGUUUUAGCUGUAUUUUAGUCAUCUGAAUUGUUUUAUUUUUAGUCUAGUUUUAGUCUACUAAAACCUUUAAAGCUUAGUAAAUAAAACCACAUGAGAUAGCAGUGGAAUAUAUCUUCACAGGCAUAGGCACAUAGACACUACUCAAAUACAAUCAUGUUUACUUACUAAAUAAAUAAAUAUAUGCCCACACGUUAAUUUAAUAUGCAAAGAGCUAUUAUUCAUGUACUCUGUAUUGCAUUAAAGCAUGCAUAAAACGCAGGCAUGUAACCCACUGGCCCUUGUUUUUCUAUAUUAAACAGUAACAUCAAUCUGUGUAUGUUUCACUUAUGCUCCCUUUCUUAGUUCCUGAGAGAACAGACAGAUAUAGCUUGAGAAGAUGGGAAAGUUUUAAAUCCCACGAAUAGAACACCACUCCUUAGAAGAGCUGGACGUACACCUCAUGAAGGAGAGGGGAAGAGAGGAGCAAAAUGGCAAAUAGAGAUAUAACUACAGGAAAUUAGAUAAAAAAAUACUGUGGAGAGAUGUGUUAUAUUAAUAAGAUUUUAUAGGGAUAACAAGGGAGCUGGGUUACCAUAAUAAGAUGUUUGGUAAUAAGGCACUCAGGAGCUGGGUUACUAUAAUAAGAUGUUUAUAAGUAAUAGGCGAUCAGGAGUUCAGAUAUUGUAAUUAGGUGUUACAGGGGUAAUAAGUCAGGAGCCAUGUUAUUGUAAUAAGAUAUUAUGAAGUAAAUAAAACGCUCAGGACCUCAGAUACUGUAAAAGGAUGUUAGAGGUGUAAUAAAGUAUUCAGGAGCUAGGUCACUACACCCUGUUCUAAAUUAUUAUGCAAAUUAUAUUUUUCUAAUUUACCUAAAUAAUUGAUGUAAAUAACAGUCGGCAUAAUUCUCAUGUUAUCAACUAUUAAGAGUACAAUUCAAAUUUUAUUGAACAAACCUCCUAAUGAUAACAUUAUUUUUUUAAAACAGAAAAAACUUACAAUGCACUGUUCCAUAUUAUUACGCAUAGUAAGUUUCAAAACACUUUAUAGGUUGUAAAGAACUGAAAAUUGUCAACAACAUUUUAACUUUUUAAACAUUUUAACAGGUCAUGUUACAUUUUAACAUAGGACCCCUUAUUUGAUGGCAGUUUCACAAGUCUUGCAUCCAUUGAAUUUGUGAGUUUUUGGACAGUUUCUGUUUGAAUUUGUUUGCAAGAUGUCAGAAUAGCCUCCCAGAGCUGCUGUUUGGAUGUAAACUGACUCCCACCCUCAUAGAUCUUUUGCUGGAGGAUGCUCCAAAGGUUCUCAAUAGGAUUGAGGUCAGGGGAGGAUGGAGGCCACAUGACUUUCUCUCCUUUUAUCCCCAUAGCAGCCAUUGAUGCAGAGGUAUUCUUUGCAGCAUGAGAUGGUGCAUUGUCAUGCAUGAAGAUGAUUUUAAUACGGAAAGCAUAGUUCUUCCUUCUGUACCAGGGAAAAAAGUAGUCAGUCAGAAACUCCACAUACUUUGCAGAGGUCAUCUUUAAACCUUCGGGGACCCUAAAGGGGCCGACCAGCUGUCUUCCCAUGAUUCUGGCCCAAAACAUGACUCCACCACCGACUUGCUGACGUCGCAGCCUUGUUGGAACAGGGUGGCCGUCCACCAACCAUCCACUACUCCAUCCAUCUGGACCAUCCAGGGUUGCACGGCACUCAUCAGUGAACAGGACUGUUUGAAAAUUAGUCUUCAUGUAUUUUUCUGCCCAAUGCAGCCAUUUCUGCUUGUGAGCAUUGGUUAGUGGUGGCCGAAUAGAAGGUUUAUGCACAGUUGCAAGACUCUGGAGGACUCUACACCUUGAUGUCCGUGGGACUCCAGAGGCAUCGGUAGGUUCAAAUAUCUGUUUGCUGCUAUGUAAUGGUAUUUUAGCAGCUGCUCUCUAGAUCCAAUGCAUGGAUCUGGCAGAAAUCUUCCUCAAUGUGCCUUUAUCUGCACAAACCCGUCUGUGCUCUGAAUCAGCCACAUUUCUCUUAAUAGUGCGAUGAUCACUCUUACGUUUUCGUGAAAUAUCUAAUGUUUUCAUACCUCGUCCAAGGCAUUAAACUAUUUCACUCUUUUCGGCAGCAGAGAGAUCCUUUUUUUCCCCAUAUUGCAUGAAAAUUGUGCGCUGCUUAAUAAUGUGGAACACCCUCCUUUAGUAGUUUUUCCUUAAAUUGGGCUCACCUGGCAAUCUAAUUAUCAAAGUUGUCUGAGAUUGUUUUCAGUGAUCAAAAGAGCCCUGAGACACAAUGCCAUCCAUGAGUUAAACUGAAAAACAAAAUACUUAAUCUUUGUGACACUUAAAUAGAAUUUGCAUAAUAAUUUGUAACAGGGUGUAUAAUAAGAUGUUAUAGGGGUAAUAAUGCACUCAGGAACUGGGUUACUGUAAACCGAUAUUACAUGGGUUAUAACGCACUCAGGCGCUAUGUUACUGCAAGAUUAUGCUAUAGGAGUAAUAAGGCAAUCAGGAACUGGGUUACUGUAAAAAGAUAUUACAUGGGUUAUAACACACCCCGGAGCUAUGUUACUGCAAGAUGAUGUUACAGGGGUAAUAAGGAACUCAGUGAAUGAGCUACUCUAAUAAGGUAUUACUGGAGUUAGAUGGUACUUAUUAGUACUGGUUAAGUGUAUUAAAAUGUUACAGGGGCAAUAAAGUGCUUAGAUGCUUGAUUACUGUAUUAUGAUAUUACAGGUUAAAGGGUUACUCCAACCAAGAAAAAAAGGUUUAUUAAAACUUUCAUGACAUGGUUCCUCUCUCCAUAAAGGAAAAGAUUGAAAUUAAAAUAAUAAACUAGAACUCAAAUUCAGUCCAGUGGCAAGGCCAAGUUCUCCCUCCAGGUCAUUCUUCCUCCUGUUUUAGCUUCUAAACGUUUGCUUUUAGAAGUGGUCAUGGUGGUAGGAGUCUGGAUGUACAGUGUUUCAGUUUGAAACACUGCACAUCUAGAGAUAUUUUUAAUUGUAUGCUGUGGGCAAGUUACAGCCCCUGCACACAUGACCCUGUUUGAGACUGCCUUAUGUCAAUUCUGUGCAAAAACAUGUGUUAUCAGACAGGGCUGGCGCUUCCUACAAGGCUCCAUUAGGAGGGGGCGCCCUUUGCCCUCAUCGAUGGCCCCUCUCAUGCUGCAGCCGCCUGAGCGCUCUAUAGAGGGCGCUCUAUUAGGGCGCACCGGCCCAGGGGUGCAAGAAACGAAGGAUCGACAGGAGGGAAACGCACAGCGCACCUUCCUGUCAGUCCCUCAGUGUAACAUGGCCGAGCUCCUCUCCAGUCUGCGAUACAGGAAUAUCCGUUUUCUGUACCCGGUCGAACUGAUAGGAAGUGCUCACUCAGAGAAGAGACCACGAAGGGAGGGUGGGGGGAGAGGAGAGACCACUAAUGAAGUGUGGGGAGGGAGGAGAGACAACAAAAGGGGAGAGGAGCCACCAAGGGGAAGAGGGGAGAGACCACUAAUGGAAAGUGGAGGAGGAGAGCAGAGACCACUAAGGGGGAGACAAGAGACCACUAAUGGAAAGGGAGGGAGAAGAGGAGAGACCACUAAGGGAGGGGGGAGGAGAGUAGAGACAACUAAGGGACAGGGGAGGAGAGGAGAGACUACUAAGGGGCAGGGGAGCGCUCUAAUGGACGGAAGGGAGAGGUCUAUAGGAUGGGGGGAACACCAAGAGAUGGGGGGGAUAGGAGAGAGCACUAGGAGACAGGACGGGAGAGCUCUAAGGGACGAGAGGAGAGCUCUAAAAGACAGGAGGGGAGAGAACUACAGGAAAGGGGGCAGGGAAAUCACUAAGGGACAGUGGGGCAGGGGAGAGCACUAAGGGACAGGAGGGGAGAGAGGCUGGGGAAGGGGGGAAAGAGAAGCACAAAGGGGCUGGUAGGACUCAGCCCCUAUUCUACCCCAACAACUCUCUCUUUCACACUAUGCACACACGCACACAAUGCACCCUAUACAUACACAGAAACACAGAAUGCAUCCCUACACACACAGAAACACAACAUGCUUCCCUUACACACAGAGAAACAGACAAUGCAUCCAUUACACACACACACACACACACACACAAUGCAACCCUUAAACACAAAGACAAGGCAUCAUUUGCACACAUACACAGAAACACACAAUGCAUCCCUUACACACAUGCAAACACACACUGCUUCUCUUACACACACACACAAACACAAUGCAUCUCUUACACACAUUGCAUCCCUUACAUACACAGAAACACACCUUGCAUCCCUUAUGCAUACAAACACAGAUUCACACAAUGUAUCCCUUACACACAACCAGAAACACACACUGCUUCCACUAUACACACACACUGCAUCACCUACACAUAACACAUCCCCUACACACUCCAGUCCCUGUGAGCGAACUCAUAAGUGGAACAUAUAGGUGGACUUAUGGGUAGGCCUUAUGGGCAUACUCACCAUCAGGCCCUGGGGCCUAGACCUUGAGCUGUGUAAGGGGCAUAAAAAAUGGAGCUGCUUCCCGUUCUCCCAGAACAUUGAAUUUUGUGACCACAGUUACAAAUAGCCGCCAGAGAGCCUGUUCUACACCAGACCAGUGGAGCCAAACUGCAGCCAGAGCCCAUCAUCAUCCUCAUCUGGUUGUAAGUAGGCAAUCUAGUAUAUUAUUAGUGACAUUAAGCUCUAAUUUACCUCACAUUAAAGGGACACUAUAGUCCCCAGAACCACUGCAGCUUAAUGAAGUGGUUCUGGUGUCUAUAGUCUGUCUCUGCAUGCCUUAUAAUGUAAACAAACUGUGUGCAACACUGGCGUUAGUUCAUAUGGCAGAUCAUAUGGGUGGGGCAUUGUGAUGUUACAUGGGGGGGAGUGGGGGCGGCAAAUUUUUCUUUUGCCUAGGGCGGCAAAAAUCCUUGCACCGGCUCUGGAUGUAGAGGUCUGCUCACUUGCAGGCAGAACCUACUAGAGGAAUCAUGUCUAUCCCCUUGCUUCUUUCAUUCAGCCCUCCAUAUAUUUCCAUUACUCCUUCAGGGUUUUUUUUUUUGUCUAUGAGAAGCAUCUGAUAGGACCGCGCAAGGGAGGCUACGAUGUCGGAUGGGGUGUGAAAAACAGCGCAUGGAGCUUUGCUGGUACGUUUAUUGUUUAUUUUAUAGUGUUAUAAUGGGGAAACACCUUAUUGCUAAUGCCCAAUUAAAAUAAAGUUUUGAUAAAAAAUGAUUGGUUUGAGCCUUUAAUAUGGUACUUGGCAGCUGGGUUACUAUAAAAAGACAUUACAGUGUAAUAAGGCAGUCAAGAACUGGGUUACAAUAAGAUGUUACAGGUAAUGGCAGCUGGUAAAUUUUAAAGAUGGUGGGGUGGUAGACUUUACCCACAGAAUUUUAGAACUAGGGGAGGGGACACAGCUCUACCUACCCCUUGGGACCUGCCGCCACUGAAAAAUUAAUAAGGUACUUGACAGCUGGGUUACCAUAAUAGGAUAUAAUGGGGUAAUAAGGCACUUGGGAGCUGGGUUACCAUAAUAGGAUAUUAGGGGGCAAUACGGAACGUGAGAGCUUGGUUACGAUAAUAGGAUAAUAUAGGGUAAUAAGGCAUUCAGGAGCUAAGAUUAAGGGGUAUUAAGGCACUCAGGAGCUAGGCUACCAUAAAAGGAUAUUAUGGAAUAAUAAGACACUCGGGAGCUGGGUUACCAUAAUAGGAUAUAAUGGGGUAAUAAGGCACUCGGGGGCUGGGUUAGCAUAAUAAGAUAUUAUGGGGUAAUAGGGCACUCAUGAACUGAGUUACCAUAAUAGAAUACUAUGGGGUAAUAAGGCAUUUGGUAGCUGGAUAUCAUGGGGUCAUAAUGCACUCGGAAGCUGGGUUUACUCAGGAACUGGGUUACCAUAAUUUACUAGGGACUUAUAAAGCACUCAGACUGAUUACUGUAAUACGAUAUUAAUAAGGCAUUCAGGAGCUAAGAUUAAGGGGUAUUAAGGCACUCAGGAGCUAGGCUACCAUAAAAGGAUAUUAUGGAAUAAUAAGAUACUCGGGAGCUGGGUUACCAUAUUAGGAUAUAAUGGGGUAAUAAGGCACUUGGGAGCUGGGUGACCAUAAUAGGAUAUUAGGGGGCAAUACGGCAUAUGAGAGCUUGGUUACGAUAAUAGGAUAAUAUAGGGUAAUAUGGCAUUCAGGAGCUAAGAUUAAGGGGUAUUAAGGCACUUAGGAGCUAGGCUACCAUAAUAAGGUAUUAUGGAAUAAUAAGACACUAGGGAGCUGGGUUACCAUAAUAGGAUAUAAUGGGGUAAUAAGGCACUCGGGGGCUGGGUUAGCAUAAUAAGAUAUUAUGGGGUAAUAGGGCACUCAUGAGCUGAGUUACCAUAAUAGAAUACUAUGGGGUAAUAAGGCAUUUGGUAGCUGGAUAUCAUGGGGUCAUAAUGCACUCGGAAGCUGGGUUUACUCAGGAACUGGGUUACCAUAAUUUACUAGGGACUUAUAAAGCACUCAGACUGAUUACUGUAAUACGAUAUUAAUAAGGCAUUCAGGAGCUAAGAUUAAGGGGUAUUAAGGCACUCAGGAGCUAGGCUACCAUAAAAGGAUAUUAUGGAAUAAUAAGAUACUCGGGAGCUGGGUUACCAUAUUAGGAUAUAAUGGGGUAAUAAGGCACUUGGGAGCUGGGUGACCAUAAUAGGAUAUUAGGGGGCAAUACGGCAUAUGAGAGCUUGGUUACGAUAAUAGGAUAAUAUAGGGUAAUAUGGCAUUCAGGAGCUAAGAUUAAGGGGUAUUAAGGCACUUAGGAGCUAGGCUACCAUAAUAAGAUAUUAUGGAAUAAUAAGACACUAGGGAGCUGGGUUACCAUAAUAGGAUAUAAUGGUGUAAUAAGGCACUCGGGGGCUGGGUUAGCAUAAUAAGAUAUUAUGGGGUAAUAGGGCACUCAUGAACUGAGUUACCAUAAUAGAAUACUAUGGGGUAAUAAGGCAUUUGGUAGCUGGAUAUCAUGGGGUCAUAAUGCACUCGGAAGCUGGGUUUACUCAGGAACUGGGUUACCAUAAUUUACUAGGGACUUAUAAAGCACUCAGACUGAUUACUGUAAUACGAUAUUAAUAAGGCAUUCAGGAGCUAAGAUUAAGGGGUAUUAAGGCACUCAGGAGCUAGGCUACCAUAAAAGGAUAUUAUGGAAUAAUAAGAUACUCGGGAGCUGGGUUACCAUAUUAGGAUAUAAUGGGGUAAUAAGGCACUUGGGAGCUGGGUGACCAUAAUAGGAUAUUAGGGGGCAAUACGGCAUAUGAGAGCUUGGUUACGAUAAUAGGAUAAUAUAGGGUAAUAUGGCAUUCAGGAGCUAAGAUUAAGGGGUAUUAAGGCACUUAGGAGCUAGGCUACCAUAAUAAGGUAUUAUGGAAUAAUAAGACACUAGGGAGCUGGGUUACCAUAAUAGGAUAUAAUGGGGUAAUAAGGCACUCGGGGGCUGGGUUAGCAUAAUAAGAUAUUAUGGGGUAAUAGGGCACUCAUGAGCUGAGUUACCAUAAUAGAAUACUAUGGGGUAAUAAGGCAUUUGGUAGCUGGAUAUCAUGGGGUCAUAAUGCACUCGGAAGCUGGGUUUACUCAGGAACUGGGUUACCAUAAUUUACUAGGGACUUAUAAAGCACUCAGACUGAUUACUGUAAUACGAUAUUAAUAAGGCAUUCAGGAGCUAAGAUUAAGGGGUAUUAAGGCACUCAGGAGCUAGGCUACCAUAAAAGGAUAUUAUGGAAUAAUAAGAUACUCGGGAGCUGGGUUACCAUAUUAGGAUAUAAUGGGGUAAUAAGGCACUUGGGAGCUGGGUGACCAUAAUAGGAUAUUAGGGGGCAAUACGGCAUAUGAGAGCUUGGUUACGAUAAUAGGAUAAUAUAGGGUAAUAUGGCAUUCAGGAGCUAAGAUUAAGGGGUAUUAAGGCACUUAGGAGCUAGGCUACCAUAAUAAGAUAUUAUGGAAUAAUAAGACACUAGGGAGCUGGGUUACCAUAAUAGGAUAUAAUGGUGUAAUAAGGCACUCGGGGGCUGGGUUAGCAUAAUAAGAUAUUAUGGGGUAAUAGGGCACUCAUGAACUGAGUUACCAUAAUAGAAUACUAUGGGGUAAUAAGGCAUUUGGUAGCUGGAUAUCAUGGGGUCAUAAUGCACUCGGAAGCUGGGUUUACUCAGGAACUGGGUUACCAUAAUUUACUAGGGACUUAUAAAGCACUCAGACUGAUUACUGUAAUACGAUAUUAAUAAGGCAUUCAGGAGCUAAGAUUAAGGGGUAUUAAGGCACUCAGGAGCUAGGCUACCAUAAAAGGAUAUUAUGGAAUAAUAAGAUACUCGGGAGCUGGGUUACCAUAUUAGGAUAUAAUGGGGUAAUAAGGCACUUGGGAGCUGGGUGACCAUAAUAGGAUAUUAGGGGGCAAUACGGCAUAUGAGAGCUUGGUUACGAUAAUAGGAUAAUAUAGGGUAAUAUGGCAUUCAGGAGCUAAGAUUAAGGGGUAUUAAGGCACUUAGGAGCUAGGCUACCAUAAUAAGGUAUUAUGGAAUAAUAAGACACUAGGGAGCUGGGUUACCAUAAUAGGAUAUAAUGGGGUAAUAAGGCACUCGGGGGCUGGGUUAGCAUAAUAAGAUAUUAUGGGGUAAUAGGGCACUCAUGAGCUGAGUUACCAUAAUAGAAUACUAUGGGGUAAUAAGGCAUUUGGUAGCUGGAUAUCAUGGGGUCAUAAUGCACUCGGAAGCUGGGUUUACUCAGGAACUGGGUUACCAUAAUUUACUAGGGACUUAUAAAGCACUCAGACUGAUUACUGUAAUACGAUAUUAAUAAGGCAUUCAGGAGCUAAGAUUAAGGGGUAUUAAGGCACUCAGGAGCUAGGCUACCAUAAAAGGAUAUUAUGGAAUAAUAAGAUACUCGGGAGCUGGGUUACCAUAUUAGGAUAUAAUGGGGUAAUAAGGCACUUGGGAGCUGGGUGACCAUAAUAGGAUAUUAGGGGGCAAUACGGCAUAUGAGAGCUUGGUUACGAUAAUAGGAUAAUAUAGGGUAAUAUGGCAUUCAGGAGCUAAGAUUAAGGGGUAUUAAGGCACUUAGGAGCUAGGCUACCAUAAUAAGAUAUUAUGGAAUAAUAAGACACUAGGGAGCUGGGUUACCAUAAUAGGAUAUAAUGGUGUAAUAAGGCACUCGGGGGCUGGGUUAGCAUAAUAAGAUAUUAUGGGGUAAUAGGGCACUCAUGAGCUGAGUUACCAUAAUAGAAUACUAUGGGGUAAUAAGGCAUUUGGUAGCUGGAUAUCAUGGGGUCAUAAUGCACUCGGAAGCUGGGUUUACUCAGGAACUGGGUUACCAUAAUUUACUAGGGAUUUAUAAAGCACUCAGACUGAUUACUGUAAUACGAUAUUACAGAAGACUAGAACUAUCAGAAGCUGAGUUGGUCAGUGCUAUAAAAUGUUAACGAGUAAUAAGGAACUUAGUAGUUACUUAUCAAAUAUAAGUCCACUAAUACGUUUUGCUGAAAGGCAAUAAGGCACCAGCUCCAUUAUUUAUUUCAUUCCAUUUAUUUCCCUCCAUUUGUGUCUCUCCCCCAGGGACUGUCACUUCUGUUGAUUGAGAGGAUUAAUAUAUUGAACUGUUUAUUUUUCCCACUGUUGGAGCUAAGCCCUGUGAUUAAUGACAGAGAGCUAACUGGUGUGACAGGGAGAGAGAGGGAGAGGUAUUGAGAGAGAAUGGUAGCUGAGUGGAAGAGAUCUGAGAGUGAAUCAGAGUUGUAUGAUAUAGGAAUGUUAUAGGAACAAUGGAAGUUACACAAGGGGACUUGUAUGGAGAAGGUGUGCAAGCUAAAGGGUUAUAGAAAAACCUUAAAAAUACACAAAAAUCAUUAAAAGAAAGAGAAAGAAAAACAGACAGAGGGGGCUGUAGGCCGUGUGUAUAGAAAAGGACAAUGAGCGACAGAUUGAAAUUAAGAGAUAAUAUCGGACAGGGUGCAUGCAAGAAUAAGGGUUAGAAAACCUUGUAGGUCAAGCAGUAACAUUACAGAGAGUGGAUGAGACACCUGAUAAUGAGGGUAGAGAGAAUAUAGCAGAGGACAAGAGACCAGACCUCACAGUUAUCUAUGCACUCUAACUCUACAAAUUUAGAAUGUAGAAUAGAAUAAGAAUCUGCACACAAUAACAGGAAGAAAAUUUUGUAUUUCUUAAUUUAGAGAAUUUUAAAAUAUUGUAUUAAAUGCAAAAAAAUAUAUAUACAUACGCUCUAAAAUCACCACAAGAUGUAUACCAAUAACCAAUGUGAGAUUUCUCACUACAAUUUUAUAUGGUGCCCCUAGAAGGGGAACAGCAGAGAAAAAGUCAUGGUCAGUUAGGGGCCAAAUUCAGGUCUGUCCCACAAAUGCAGAACUGUUUGCAUGCCAUAACGUGUACAGCCACUGUAAAGCCUUAAUAUUCUAUGUCAUGUCCCAGCUCCUUUACCUUAUAACAUUUUAUAAAGCAUUUUAUCUGAUGUAUACUCAUACCCAUUACUGCAAAAAAACAGAAUGAUAUAGUAAUAAAGAGCAUGCUAGAGGGUGCACAGAUUACAGAGAGUGCAAGACAGCAGAAUAGAGAGUUCGGGAGAGAGCACAAUAGGCAGUGCAAGAGACAGCAUAAUAAGAGGGUGCAGGGGAGAGCCCCAUGGGCAGUGUAAGAAAUGAAUAGAGUGUCUGCACAUUUAGGGAGAGAGUUAAUGGAGAAGCAGUCAGUUGGAGUCACACAGAGCACAGGUGCACACGUGGCGCUCUAUUUAUUCUCACACAAAUGAAAAUGGCAAUAGCCCAAAGUAUAAGGAUGCAGCCAUCCGUGCCAGGGAGGGUACAGGUACACAGAAUCACUUUACACUGUGCAACCUGCAUUAUUAUCUUUACAUGAUAGAAUGCAGGUACUGAGAUACUCCUCACCACAGUAAUAUACUUAGAUUUCAUAUUGCAAAUAUAUAUCUACACACAUAUAAAUAACAUGGUGAUAUUCUGACAAUGUUUUUAUUAUGUGUUAUAAUGUAUCAUAUUUGUAUGUCAUACUCAGUAUAUGGUGUGGCAAACAAACAACAUGAAGUGCUGGGUUGAAUGGGAUUUGAAGGAUUCUUACUUGCGACUGAAGAGUUACGGCCUAAAUCAGGGAUAGGCAACCUUUGGCACUCCAGAUGGUGUGGAAUACAUUUCUUCUAAUGCCUUACCAAAAUGAUGGCUAUAAGAGCAUUAUGGGGGAUUUAGUCCACAUCUGGAGUGUCUUAGGUUGCCUACACCUGGCCUAAAUUGUGAAUUAUUGACCAGAUUUAUUCUGUAAUGUAUGAUUAAGGGGAAUCCAAACUGAAGUGAAAUGGAUUGAUUCAGGACCUGAUUACCAUAAGGUAGAAUGGGUGACCACUUAGAGCCUGGGCUUAGAUAGUCAAACAGGGGCCUGUAUCUCUAGCUCAGUCCGUGAAGGGGAUUUUGCGUAGCCUACAGGGAGAUCAAGGGAUCUUAUUGUUGAGGGCUGUGUCCCUAUUCACUACCUUGAUGGAGCGUUGUGAUCUGCAUCUCUAAGAGCUCUCAGCACUCUUCAAUGACUCGGAGCACCAUAGCCAGCACAUUCCGAGUCAUUGUCUGAGUGCCAGAACUGUAAGGGAGCUCUUUAAGAGAUCUGCACCUUAUAGAAGUGCAGAUCAUAACGCUUCCCCACCAGACCACUAGGAAUCCUGCCCAGAGUGCACUCCUACGGGACACCAAGGAUUAUUAUUUCCUCCUGCGAAAGGUAAACAGGAGGGGGGACUCUACAAUCUCACACACAUACAUACAUACAUACAUUCUUAAAACACAGCCAUUACACACAACACUCACACACCCACAUUCACAGAACAGGGCCCUGGGCACUAAGAGGGAGCCAACAUCUGGCAUCCUACAGAGGACCUGCGACAAUCUCAUUCCCACUCUGGUUUGACUCAUUAAACAGCGCAUUGUGAAGUGAAAAUCAUAUUGCAAAAUCCAGGGUAAAAUAGCCGAGCUUUAACUAUAGCUGAGUUUUUUUCCCAAAUCUUGGCCUAAGUUUUGCAAUUCCGACUUUGAUUAAAUGCAAUGUGCAGUUCAGUGAAUAAAUCCCACAACGAAAAAGUGAGGCAACAUUGGAAAAUGACUCAAUUCUGUUUUCACUUCAGCUACUUUACAUUUGUUAUAAUCCACUCUUUAGUGAAAAAAAAAAAAUGAAAUGGCUUCAGAUUGCAGCUCACUGUUUAGUGAUUAAUCUUCUACAGAACAGAAUGUGACUCCCCUCCCUUCUUGCACUAAUCUUAGUUUCUUCAUACCCCUUGUACUAUUUACUUAGUUAAGCACUCUAUAUGUUUAUCUCUCAAGACAGGAGUGUGGAAAUAAAUACAGAGCAGGUGCCUGUUAACUCAUUCACUGCUGUUUGUUUGUGUAUAUGCACAGGGCAGGGUUUAUAUUCAUACUAUAUAGAGACUAUGGAAAAACAUGUUUUAUCCAGACAGGGAAGUGUGUAUCACAAGGUGAACACAUCAAGUACUUAUUCUUGGUGCUUUAACACUUUUUUUUUUUUUUUUUACUUUUUAGGACUUUUAUCAGUAAGGUGUAGAUGAAAGUCAGUACAAUUAAUCUAAACUACCAAAGAGCUGAAGAGUGCCCUCAUAUCACUCUCAGCCAACCGACUUUGGAAUUUAGUCAUGUUGAAGAACAAAGCGCCACGUUCCAGCAGAUUUGACAAAGACCCUGCUGUAGUCCCAGACAUUGUGCCUGAAACAAGCAGCUGUGUAGCUGUGUCCUUCCUUCACAGUUGUAUCUUCAUCGAUUUUCUACGGCUCUGAUGCAGAGCCCAGUCUUGCAGUUUUGUGGUCAGUUUCAGCAGAUGAAAGAUGUGAUGGUCACUCUGGAUGAGUUUUCUGCAGGUCAUGGUGCAAUAAUUACCAGUAUAAGGUCAAUUUCACAUGUCUGAUUCAUGAAGUUCUUUGAAUUUUGAAGUUUAUUCACUCAACUGAUAAUUUACAGAGGAGUUACAUAUUUUAAAAGUGCACUCCAGUAAUCAAUAUAGCUUUAUUGUAUUUCAUAGUUAAAUAAUUAACUGUAUUUUUUUGCAUGCCCAAUAUUCUAUAGCCCUUGCAAAAAAAAAUUUUUUAAAUCAAACUCUGCAUACUAUGUACAUACUAACCUGUUCUAAAAUACUUCUUUUUUGUUGUUGCCUCUAUAUGUAUACAGCUGUACAGCUCAUUCUUGUUCCUCCCUCCUAAAUUGCAGGACCAGUAACACAGUUCUACAUAUCAUCAAGAAGUACAACGAAGAUUUUGGGAGUUUGGGAGUUGUACUUCAGCCAAAAGCUUUAGUAGGCAGAUGAUAUCUGAACUACAUAUACCAAAAACACCAGUUUUUAACAGAACUGAGACUGUUGAAAGAGAGCUUUGAAAUCUGCAAAUCAGCCUCUCCCACCUGCAUAUUAAACCUUGCUGUAUUUAGUUAAACAUAUCUAGCAAUUCAGACUGCAUAGACCAGAAUGAGAGGCUCCUGAUUGGCCAAACUACUUCAAGUGUGAACAAAGCUCAACGAUGAUGAUGUAAUGUGGAUUUACAC